CGCACAAAAACCAGUGCGUACGAUGAGUCACCACGAACUUGCAGUAACGGCGACAGGCCACGCUUUUCGACCGACGUGUUUCAAACAAGGCGAAAGCUCAGCGACGGAAAUGUUUUAAUUCGCGGAAGAAGCAGAACGAACGGAGGGAGAGAAAGUCGAAUUUCUGCGUACCAUCGUUUGCUCUCGUUCAAUGCAGCUUUGUGAAACGCUUUCGUUACCGUAAACAAGUUACUCUAUGCGUCACUAUGAUGCGGUUGGGUGGAGACAAGUCGUUUUACGUUUGGAAAAAAUUGGAUACAGUUAUUUUCACACAAUACGAGCCAUUGGUGUAUUGUUAUCGUCCUUUGUAUCAAAUGUCGAUAGAAAAGACGGAAAAGGAAUGCGAUGAAUCGAUAGAAAUAAGGAAUCUUCUAAUAAUGGAUAUUGAGAAAUACCCGGAAGCAUCGAAAACAUGUAGCAUGAAGUAAUCUUAGUAGAUUCGGAUAAAACAUUUUAGAUUAGAAACAACUGGUCUUUCUCUAAACGAGACGUUAUAUAGAAGUAGUAUCUGCGAAUCGAAUUGCAUGAAUUUAUUUCCGCCUCGAGAUGGCUAGACUCGAGUUAUC
rnacentral:misc_RNA from 1 species